UCUGGUGGUAAAUGUGGAAUAGUCCUGAUUGGAGUGCCCUCUACAAAAGUUCAUGGGCACUCCAUGUAAUGAUCGUGACAAUUGCAGUGGGCAUUUACUUCAAAGGCUACAAUCUGCUACACCUAUUCAAAUUGAGCAUUUCGAUGAGGGCGGUCAAAACAGGACAGAAAAUAGCCUAUUUCAUCUAAAUUAUGAUUUUUUAUUAAUUGAAAAAUCCCCUUUAAAACCUUGGAGCUGCUGGCAUUUACAAGGGAUUUUAUUGGUCUAUUGAAGUCAUAUCUACAAACUGUUGUCUGAGCCACCUGCAAUUUAAGCUGUCAGAGGAGCUGGGUUUCAAAAGCUUCAGUCAUCGUUCUUGUAGAAUAUGAGAGGCCUUUGGCUAUGGAUAUUAAGCCAAAGUCAGAGGUCAAAGGGAAGUGAAAUGCCAUUACAAGGAAGAAAUCUGAGGUGCUUGUCCUCUGAUCUCCUCAACGGCUGAGAGCAGAAAUGUCUCCUGCUGAGGAGAAGAACCCUGGCCAGUUCUCAUGACACAUGACCCCCGACAUGUCCUGCCGUUAUGGAUGAGCUGAAAAGAAUGUCCUACAUUUUUCAUGCCCCUCCACUGGCACAAAUAAUAAUUUAUAAAAAUCCUGUGCAUUUAGCUUAUCUAAAAAUACACAAAGCACAUUGUUUGCUGUGAUUAUUAAAAUGUGAUGAUGAAGAUGUGUAGCUUUUAACAUGCAAAGCAGAUCUGGAAACGUGAUUCUUUAUGAAUCUGACUGUGCUGAGAGACUCAAGCUUGUGGUUCAGAGCACAUGUGAAACCAAGUCCAAUAGUCUCCAGACCAGCACACUCCUGUGGUCAUCUUGUGGCUGCUUAUGAAGUGGUUUUGCAUAGAAAUUUGAAAGAGACCUAAUGAAAAAAAUCAUCAAAGGUCAGAGAAUCCUGAGCAUCAAAUGGAAACAUACAAUACAAAUCAUUGUUUUUCAGUGUGUGUGUGUGUGUGUGUGUGCGUGUGUGUGUUUUACCAUUGCAGCAACUAUUAUUAUUGCUUUUUUAUUUUAUUUUAUUUUAUUUUUUUUUAUCAAAUGGAAUGCAUUUAUUAAAUAUAAUAAAAUAACAACCUUUCAACUGUC